rnacentral:rRNA from 1 species
UACGUAGGGUGCAAGCGUUGUCCGGAAUUAUUGGGCGUAAAGAGCUUGUAGGCGGUUUGUCGCGUCUGCUGUGAAAUUUCGGGGCUCAACCCCGAACUUGCAGUGGGUACGGGCAGACUAGAGUGUGGUAGGGGAGAGUGGAAUUCCUGGUGUAGCGGUGAAAUGCGCAGAUAUCGGGAGGAACACCCGUAGCGAAGGCGGCACUCUGGGCCGGAACUGACGCUGAGGAGCGAAAGCGUGGGGAGCAAACAGGG